GCCCCGUCAAUGCAGGCAACUUUCUCUUUUGCUUCAAGCUCUGGCAAGUCAGCAGGGCCCUUUUCUUCUAUUUUAUAAUUAUUACGUUACUUGCAAUAAAUUCUUCUCCAGAACUUUCCACUAACAUUUCAAAUGAAAAAGGGUACCUGAGAAAAUUUAGAAAAUAAUCACAAAGGAGUGUUUAAACACUGUGGGUAAAUUUAUAGCUUUGGGGCUUGUUUCCUUGUCUUUAUUUUUUGACCACAUGCGUCACAGAGUGAGACAGGCCUUAGAGCCUGAGAUCCAGGUGUCUCCUGAGAAAACUGCGAGCGCCGUGGUGACAGAGUGGACGAAGAGACACAAGGAAGGAGGAGAACAGGCGGUGCCAAACAGACGCUGAGUCCUCUUUAUAGGGGCCUCAAGGAUGCAGGAACACUCAGGGAAAGGAAGAGCUGCCUCUGCAACCUAAUGAAAGCUGCGGCCCGGCAGGGCUUGAUCGCAGAGAUCCUUGUGCUUCCCCCAUCCCUAGGGGUAUUUGUUAGGAAAGAAUGGUUAGUUUGUGUUUUUCACAAUAUUAAAAACCUUAUUCCAUAAGAUUUACUUUAGAGACAGGUUGCUUUCCUUUUGACUCACAUUUUCUAGUAAAAUAUUUACCCCAUGGAAUUUGGGGAGCGAUUCUGGAGGCGGAUGCACACGUUCCGUGACUGUGUAAUCCUAGAAGAGGCGAUGAUGAGGGCACUGGGAUCUCUGACUCUGCAGUGGUUUUUGUUUUAUGUUGUAGAUAAAUUCUUUGUGUUCAGACACUGACUGGUUUCCUCCCAAGGUGUUUAGGAAGCUCCGUAAGUGCUCACUUACAGAUCUUCAUAAUGCCGCUGUGGUUGUAAGAGGCUGACACAUUUGAUCAGUGCUGGCUCUAUAUCUAUAAAAACUGACUUCGUGGAUUACACAGGUUGACAAUAUGGUCCAUGAUCCAUAUUUUGUAAAUGGAAGAACUGGAGCCCAGAUAGAGAAAAUGACACAAGGCUCCACAAAAACCUCGUCUCUACUAAAAAUACAAAAAAUUAGCCGGGCAUGGUGGAGGGCGCCUGUAGUCCCAGCUGCUCAUGAGACUGAGGCAGGAGAAUGGCAUGAUUUGGUAGUUUUUAUAAGCAAUUAAUUAUGGAAAACCUUGCCUUCCUUUUCAUAACUAAGUUUUUAGUUAUUCUGAUUUUUAUCCUAUACUUUCCUAGACAUCUUCAUCUUAUUAUAGCAAAACAAGUAUCAUUAGAACUAAUAUAGAUCUAUAAAUGUAGAAUGUGGUCCCUCAAAGUGACCCUAGAGG
rnacentral:lncRNA from 10 species